rnacentral:rRNA from 1 species
CCUACGGUAGGCAGCAGUGAGGAAUAUUGGUCAAUGGACGCAAGUCUGAACCAGCCAUGCCGCGUGCAGGAAGACGGCUCUAUGAGUUGUAAACUGCUUUUGUAAGAGGGUAAAUAGCGAUACGUGUCUCGGGUUCACCGUAUCGUACGAUUACGGAUCGUCUAACUCCGUACCAGCAGCCGCGGUAAUACGGAGGAUCCAAGCGUUAUCCGGAUUUAUUGGGUUGAAAGGGUGCGUAGGCGGGUCGGUAAGUUAGAGGUGAAAUCUGGGGGCUCAACUCUUGCACUGCAUCUGAUACUGGCGGGCUUGAGUUCAGUUGCGGUAGGCGGAAUGUAUGGUGUAGCGGUGAAAUGCGUAGAGAUCA